GAGGAAUAUUGGGCAAUGGGGGAAACCCUGACCCAGCAACGCCGCGUGAAGGAAGAAGGCCUUCGGGUUGUAAACUUCUGUGACAGGGGACGAAGAAAUGACGGUACCCUGAGAGGAAGCCACGGCAAACUACGUGCCAGCAGCCGCGGUAAUACGUAGGUGGCGAGCGUUGUCCGGAAUCACUGGGCGUAAAGGGCGCGUAGGCGGCGAAGCAAGUCGCAUGUGAAAGACCAGGGCUCAACCCUGGGAGGUCAUGCGAAACUGUUUUGCUUGAGUGCAGUAGAGGGAAGCGGAAUUCCUGGUGUAGCGGUAAAAUGCGUAGAGAUCAGGAGGAACACCGGUGGCGAAGGCGGCUUCCUGGGCUGUAACUGACGCUGAUGCGCGAAAGCGUGGGGAGCAAAC
rnacentral:rRNA from 1 species